AUGCCAGCCUCGACACCGGCCAUCACAGGAUCCUCUCUUCCUCCUUUUGCAUCUAAGCUUCUCAUGGCCGGUGGAGGAAGAAUUGAAGGUGUUUGAGAACGAGAACAGUGGCGUGAACAGUAACUGACGAGUUCUUGGUUUUGUUUUGAUCUUUCCGGCCAAAUUGUUGGGUUUUGUUGGUUGUUGCAGGUACAAAAACUGUUGGGUGUGUUGUGGAGAUGAUUUUGAGCUUGUUAGGUUGGCCGAAUUUGGGGUUUGGUGUGGCGGCGAGUGAAACCACAAGCCGCUAGUGGUGGUGGUGGUGAGGAGGCUCUGCCAGCCCGUCCAAAACCCAUUAAUUUGAUUUUUUGAGUUAUGUUUUAGAUUUGAGGUUGUUUGGAUAGUGAGAUUCCUUGGAAAUUUGAUGUUGGAUAUGAUUGUUUUGAGUAUUGUGGUUUAUAAUUUUAUGGGUUAAAUCUCUUGGUGAAAUAAUUUUGGUGAUAUUGCGGUAUUGAUUUGUUUUGUUGAGAAAUUAGAGAUGAAAUUGUGGAUUGAAAAGAGAAAAAUUAAGAGAAAAUUUGGAGUUUUCAGAAAGGGAUUUAUUUCAUAA
rnacentral:lncRNA from 1 species